rnacentral:rRNA from 1 species
UACGGGGGGGGCAAGCGGUUGUUCGGAAUUACUGGGCGUAAAGGGCUCGGUAGGCGGCCAACUAAGUCGGAUGUGAAAUCCCAAGACCUUAACUUGGGAACUGCAUCCGAUACUGGAUGGCUUGAAUCCGGGAGAGGGAUGCAGAAUUCCAGGUGUAGCGGUGAAAUGCGUAGAUAUCUGGAGGAAUACCGGUGGCGAAGGCGGCAUCCUGGACCGGCAUUGACGCUGAGGAGCGAAAGCGUGGGGAGCGAACAGG